AUCACUUCUCGGCUUUUUGGCUAAGAUCAAGUGUAGUAAACAUAUGACUGAAGGAAAACGCAAUUCAAAAUAAUGCCCCCCCCCAAAAGUUUUGUAUCUGUUCUACAAUAGAUUUCCAAUUUUAUAUGCUAAUUUGUUCUGCUUUUCUCUUUCAUCAAACUGAGAGCAGAGUAAGGGCCCAACUU